UCCACUUAUAAUACAGUAAAAAUGAGAGUAAGCAAUUUUUCAGUAAUAGUGUGCUUGUAUUUGUCUGAUUUUGUAAGGAAGUAGUUUAAGACAGGUGAAACUUGGGAGUACAUAAGACAAAUCAGACUCCUCAAAAGGGUACAGUAGUCUGGAAAGGUUGAGUGGCAGUACUUGAGCUCUAGAGCAGUAAUGCCCUGAGACACUCAAUCUCCAAAAGUGCCAAUGUUACCUUUCCAGAAAGCAAUCCUCAUUCUGAAAGGGGUAAGUUCUGGCCUUUUUGGAGCUUACACAGCAAGAAUCUACUCUUUGAUUACACAGGGAGUCUUCUGUGCAUUACUCUGAACCAAACAUCAAUAAAAACACAGCAGUAAAGUAUAUAGUACAACAUCCAAAUUCACUUCUAAAUACAAUUUUGCAAUAUAAAAGCAUUUCAACAAGUGCUUAAGGGCUCUUAAACUGAGUUUUAUAUAUAAUGUAUUUUUUCCACUCCAUCUGGGUCAUCUGCAAGGUUAGAACCCCACCACCUUCCAGUCCACAGCACAGACCUCUUCCAUGUCAGCAGUAGGUAUAGCUCGUGUGUUCAUGCAAGGAUUAUGGAGCAAACGGAUAGAACCUUCUAUCCAAGCGAAGGGCCCCAAUCCUCAGGAAAGCGUUGAAAGGACUGACAGACUAGAAGCCUUGUGGAAGAUGGGGUGUGAUCUCUAUCUGACUGCUGGGGAAUUCACAGUAUAAUGUGCAGUGUGGAAAUAACCUGAUUAGGAGGGAGACAGGUGUGACAGCUGAGGAGCUGGAAGCUUAGAAUUGGUGUCCUUGCUGGACCAGAGAGCAGGAGCAGAGAUGCAAUUACUCUGAACUGUGACAGUACCAACACCCUUUGUUUAAGAAAUCUGGCAUUGAACCUGGGACUUCAGAACAUGAAAACACUAGCCUCCAGAACUUGAGUUAAAGAAUCAGGUCUCUUAGCAUGGAAGUAGAGUCAAACAUCUAUAUGUGAUCUAACCGCUAAAGAGAGUGACAGAACUACACUGUUAGUAUGGAUUACAGAAGCAAGCAAAUUGACAU